AGGAGCAACAGCCCUAGUGGCGGGGCCAGCUCUGGAGCCCUGGAUUCAGCUCAGGCAGGAACUCCGUCUGCAGGGCCUGGAGGCUCUGGGGCGGG
rnacentral:pre_miRNA from 1 species